GCCCCGCAGUACCGCCUACCGACCGUAGAGGGCGCGGCGCACACCCGCGCAGCUCAGCCUGCAGGAAAGAGGAAGCAGGUCUCUGCUGAGACCGUACCUGGCCACUGCGCGUCUUCCCUCCAGUGCGGGCGGAGGAGGCCAGAGCUCUGGGGAGAGUCGUCUGAAAGCCGCGGGACGAGCGCAGGCCUGCACGCGGACAACGGCUCCUGGGGACGUCAGACGGGUGCUCAGCCGUGCCCCCACCCGCCGCCCACUCUAUCCCUGGAGCCGGGGACCGGCCAGCAAGACGCCCACGCUGGGAGGCUUCUCUCCCCGUCUGUCUGGCUCCCACGCUCUCUGCACCUGCGUCGAUGGCCUCGGACUUGUGCCUCGGCUCUGCUGGAGCAGGAGAUCCUGCAGAAAUGCUCCUGGAGGAACGUUCUCCCAGCUUCUCCGGCAGACGGCGGAAGCGGGGCACGCCUGGGUCGGGAUUGCUGGGUGUCACGGCAGACGCGACGCCACGUUAGCAGCCACUCGUGGCCUUAAAAUUGUGCAUGAAUUUUAAAAUAUCUUUCAAGGAGCAGGCAGGAAAGACACCCUCUAUCGCUCCCCGGCGUGUUUUCAGCAUCCGGACGGUACGCAGAGCUUACCCAUCUGCUCUGGGUACUGGCGCUUUGGAAAUGUGGUUUUUGGGAUUCCCCACCCUACAAGGACGUUCCAGGCCACGUGGGAUUGCUGGCAAGGAUGGAGGGAAGAACCCCAGGUUGGGAAGGAAGCGAUCUGCCUGGGAGUGCGUGUGGACGCGGGAGCGUGUGUGUGAGUGUGUGUGCGCGUGUGUGCGCGCGACGGGCCGAGGCUUCCUCUCCCACACUGUCCGGUGGACAUUGGAGAAGCAGCAGCAGCAGCAGCACGGCACGAGGAAAGAGGAAAC